GACGAACGCUGGCGGCGUGCUUAACACAUGCAAGUCGAACGGAAAGGCCCUGCUUUUGUGGGGUGCUCGAGUGGCGAACGGGUGAGUAACACGUGAGUAACCUGCCCUUGACUUUGGGAUAACUUCAGGAAACUGGGGCUAAUGCCGGAUAGGAGCUCCUGCUGCAUGGUGGGGGUUGGAAAGUUUCGGCGGUUGGGGAUGGACUCGCGGCUUAUCAGCUUGUUGGUGGGGUAGUGGCUUACCAAGGCUUUGACGGGUAGCCGGCCUGAGAGGGUGACCGGCCACAUUGGGACUGAGAUACGGCCCAGACUCCUACGGGAGGCAGCAGUGGGGAAUAUUGCACAAUGGGCGGAAGCCUGAUGCAGCAACGCCGCGUGCGGGAUGACGGCCUUCGGGUUGUAAACCGCUUUCGCCUGUGACGAAGCGUGAGUGACGGUAAUGGGUAAAGAAGCACCGGCUAGCUACGUG
rnacentral:rRNA from 1 species